CAAUAGCGUAUAUUAAAGUUGUUGCGGUUAAAAAGCUCGUAGUUGGAUUUCUGUUGGGAACGACCGGUCCGCCCAUUGGGUGUGUAUCUGGCUUGUUCUCGGCAUCUUCUUGGUGAACGUUGCUGCACUUGACUGUGUGGAGCGCUACCCAGGACUUUUACUUUGAGGAAAUUAGAGUGUUUCAAGCAGGCAUAUGCCUUGAAUACAUUAGCAUGGAAUAAUAAGAUAGGACCUCGGUUCUAUUUUGUUGGUUUCUAGAGCUGAGGUAAUGAUUAAUAGGGAUAGUUGGGGGCAUUCGUAUUUAACUGUCAGAGGAGAAAUUCUUGGAUUUGUUAAAGACGGACUACUGCGAAAGCAUUUGCCAAGGAUGUUUUCAUUGA
rnacentral:rRNA from 1 species